CCUACGGGAGGCAGCAGUAGGGAAUAUUGGUCAAUGGGUGAGAGCCUGAACCAGCCAUGCCGCGUGCAGGAAGAAGGCCUUCUGGGUUGUAAACUGCUUUUGCCAGGGGAUAAAAUGACCUUGCGAGGUUAACUGAAGGUACCUGGUGAAUAAGCCACGGCUAACUACGUGCCAGCAGCCGCGGUAAU
rnacentral:rRNA from 1 species